rnacentral:rRNA from 1 species
GAUGAACGCUGGCGGCGUGCCUAACACAUGCAAGUCGAACGAUGAACCCGGAGCUUGCUCCGGCGGAUUAGUGGCGAACGGGUGAGUAACACGUGAGUAACCUGCCCUUGACUCUGGGAUAACUGCGGGAAACUGUAGCUAAUACCGGAUACGACCCUCGGCGGCAUCGCCAGGGGGUGGAAAGAAUUUCGGUCAAGGAUGGACUCGCGGCCUAUCAGCUAGUUGGUGAGGUAACGGCUCACCAAGGCAACGAUGCGUAGCCGACCUGAGAGGGGGAUCGGCCACACUGGGACUGAGACACGGCCCAGACUCCUACGGGAGGCAGCAGUAGGGAAUCUUCCGCAAUGGACGAAAGUCUGACGGAGCAACGCCGCGUGAGUGAUGAAGGCUUUCGGGUCGUAAAACUCUGUUGUUAGGGAAGAACAAGUGCUAGUUGAAUAAGCUGGCACCUUGACGGUACCUAACCAGAAAGCCACGGCUAACUACGUGCCAGCAGCCGCCGUAA